UCUAUUAACCUUGUAGCUGUUAACACAACUCUGUCGUAGCCUUACCCUAACCCUGUAUGGCAGGUUAAUGGUCGGGUUCAGUUGCCCAGGUUUUAAGGGGUCUCGUAGAACAUGUAAGAUUUUCAUUCCUGGUUAAUGUUUCUGGCAGAUAAUUUAGCUAUAUUUGUAGAUUUCAUUUCCAGCUGACCAAAGAAUAUCUGGAAUCGAUCACCAAGGUGUCUGAUGGAUCAGAAGCCUCUAUGAGCUGCAGUGAAAGCAGUGGUGAUGAAUAUAGUCCAUCAAAAGACAAGAUUCCAUUAAUGAAACUGAAGAUGUCACAGAGGACGUAUAGAAAAAAGUUCUUCUAAAACAGUAUCCUCAAGAUCUAAGGAAGGACAGCGACCUGAGUCUGACCGUGGUGACCCUAAAACUGACGGACGAUACAAUUUACGAAGUGAGUUGUAUGCUGUAGCAGAAACAAACAUGCAAUUUAUUUUCAGAUGGACUUCAAGCAAUAUUUAAAUCAGGGAAGAUUAAAUAAAUAUUAUUUAAUAACACAUAUGUUUCUCAACUGAAAGCAGGUGAGGACUGACAUGAUAACAUAACGAUAUAUAUAAAUGGUUAGUUCAAUUUGUGAAAGAAUACAGUGUACAUAAAUAUAUCAAUGUAUGUUUUCAGGAGGAUAUG